AUUGAACGCUGGCGGCAGGCCUAACACAUGCAAGUCGAACGAGUGGCGGACGGGUGCGUAAUGUCUGGGAAACUGCCUGAUGGAGGGGGAUAACUACUGGAAACGGUAGCUAAUACCGCAUACCAUCAGAUGUUCCCAGAUGGGGUUAGCUCGUAGGUGGGGUAACGGCUAACCUAGGCGACGAUCCCUAGCUGGUCGGAGAGGAUGACCAGCCACACUGGAACUGAGACACGGUCCGGACUCCUACGGGAGGCAGCAGUGGGGAAUAUUGCACUAUGGGCGCAAGCCUGAUGCAGCCAUGCCGCGUGUAUGAAGAAGGCCUUCGGGUUGUAAAGUACUUUCAGCGGGGAGGCGUUACCCGAAGAAGAAGCACCGGCUAACUCCGUGCCAGCAGCCGCGGUAAUAC
rnacentral:rRNA from 1 species